rnacentral:lncRNA from 1 species
CAUUAGGAGAGAUUUUGAAGGAGAUUGAGCCAAAGCUUUUUUUCUCCCAGCAGGAAUAUGAUCACCUAUCUCGGAUUUAAAGAGAGUUUGAACAUUACUUCCUAACUGCAAAGACCUCCAAAAUGAGAAGGAAUGGCUCCAUAACCCAUUUGUGAAUAAACCAGGUGAAGGACUUUGUGGUAGAAGAGGAUCAACUGCUUAAGAUCUCAAAUGACAGUAGCCUUAAUAGUGUGUUUGAAACAACUUCAAAUCUCCGUAUGUUCUGAAUUUAAGACAAGGAAAAAUAUCCUGAGACUGCCACAAAAGCACUGAAAAGCCUGUUUACAUGUCCAACCUCUUAUCUUUGUGGAGCAGGGUUUCUUUUGCAAUGACAGCAACUAAAAGAAGAUUAUGGAUAGACUGGACAUGAGUGAGACACUUUAGGUGUACUGUCUCCCAUUACAAUCAGAUGCGACUGUCUAGUUGUAGGAAAAGAAGCUUGGGGCUCCAGACGAUACUGCAUUAUGGUGAACUGUGUCAUUAUUUCAUUAUAUGUUACAACAUAAUAAUAAUAGAAAUAAAGUAUACAAUGAAUGUAAUACACUUGAAUCAUCCCAAAACCACCCAACCCCCAGUCUGUAGAAAAUUUGGUUUCCACAAAGUUCAUCCCUGCCAAAAAGGUUGGGGACUUUUGCCAUAGAGUAUAUUUAUUACUUAUUAGAACCUCUUAUUACAUUCUGGGACAAUUAUCACUCACUGUUCUCAACUGCCCAAUUGUGAAAUUCCUUGUCUGAAAUAGUUUCUGAGGCUCUGAGGUUUGAUACAGCAGGUGUGAUGGAGACAGCAUGCUUUACAUCUGCACUUGUGUUGAAGUCAGGGUUUGCAAGGGAACAGAUUUAAUACAGGACACAUCAUUUAUAGGAUUAUUUUAUAGUAUUCACCCAAAAAGUCAAAGGCAGAGUAGUGCAAUAGAUGUGUCUAUGUGCUAGAGAUCCAAAAAUCCAGCCAAGGGUGUCCCACACAAGUGCAGCUGAAGGCCUAGAGUCCAAGGCAAUGUCCUCUAUGAGUCCAGCCAGAGGCCCAGAGGCCCAGAGCCCACAGCAAUGUCUCAUACCAGUCUUUAUCAAGGGUCUGCACUGGGAAGCCCCAAAGGCCAGUGGUGAAAGCUAGAAAGUUUUCUCCAAAGAAUGAAGGAUCUGUGCCACCAGGCUGCACUGGAGACAGGAAGAGACACUCAAAGCCAAGACCAGAGCUGCCCUGAUGAGAACAACAGCCAUCCCCAGUGACAAUGAGGAUCCAAGCUCCUCUAAUGAUGUGAACAACCAAGUUCAUAUCAGGAAAACCAGCCACCAUAGAAAGCUUUUCCCGGAAAAUCAGCAGGCCACAAUCUUCUCCUCCAGUUAUCCUUUUAUACUGUUGGCAGCAGCUCUCAGGUUCCUCUUCCAUACCCAGAAUCACGCUGACCCAGUUCAGCUAGGCAUGCCAAGUUAGCCAUUCGUUAGUCCACCAGAACCUGUGAGGGGUGACAGAGGUGAGAUCCGGCAGAAGGAGAUGCGAAACUGAUGGAGUUGGAAUGCAAUUCAAUCCCACAGGGAGCCCUGGAGCUGAGAGGGUUGAGAUAAGAUUGAGACAGUGUCCAACUAAGUUGCCCAAGCGGCACUCAAACUUGUGGUCCUUCUACCUCAGCUUCUAAAGAGGUUUUUAAUAAAGACCAAGGCAACUGUGAUACACGUGGCACAGACUUCUCUGCACAGAAGUACUGAAAAUAGCA